rnacentral:rRNA from 1 species
GUGCCAGCCGCCGCGGUAAUACCGGCAGCUCGAGUGAUGACCGCUGUUAUUGGGCCUAAAGCGUCCGUAGCUGGCCGCGUAAGUCCAUCGGGAAAUCCAUCCGCUUAACGGAUGGGCGUCCGGUGGAAACUGCGCGGCUUGGAGCCGGAAGACCCAAGGGGUACGUCUGGGGUAGGAGUGAAAUCCCGUAAUCCUGGACGGACCGCCGAUGGCGAAAGCACCUUGGGAAGGCGGACUCGACAGUGAGGGACGAAAGCUAGGGUCUCGAACCGGAUUAGAAACCCGAGUAGUCC